UUUCAUUCUGUGGAUGUAGUACGAUUCAUUGUGCGACUUGGUUUUGCAGAAAUAUCCGCCUCAACAUAAAGUGCUGGUCCAGGAUUUCUUCAACAUUGAGUUGGAUCCUCGAACAUUUCUCUCGAAAUAUUACUUGAACUGUGUUAUCAGAUGACAGCCAUGUCCGGUUCUACCGCGGCACUGCAAACGCAAAGUGCUCAGGUGUCGGCAGCUUCCGACUUGGGAACGGCAAGUGCUCAGACGUCGGAGGCAGUUAUAGGCCCGGAAGUUGCUCCCGCUCCUGCUCAAUGUCCUGAUGAAGUAAAUCUCGUCGAUGAAUGUGAGUGCGAAUAUGGUUAUCGCUACUUCUUCAGUGAGCAACUCUGUUAGAUAUCUUAUCGGCCUACUACAUCACGACAUACAGGGUAACGUCUCCGCCACCUGCAUGUUAACUAUCGUGUGCAAACAGUGGUUUGAAAAAGGAAGCGAAUACGAAGCGAACAACAGAGUUGGAUAAUCGAAUACGAAGAAAUAGAAGUGUAGAACCCUAGCGAAUAGGAAGCGAAUAGCUGCAAAAGGGACCGGUUUUCCCGCAUAGGCGGAGU